CNNNNNNNNNNNNNNUGCUCAGUACACGUGGACACCUACCCUGUGGAGGGGGAUAACCCCGGAAAACUGGGGAUAAUACCCCAUAGGUUAGGGAGGCUGGAAUGCCCCCUAGCUCAAAGGUCCGCCGCCACAGGAUGGGUCUGCGGCCGAUUAGGUUGUUGUUGGGGUAACGGCCCAACAAGCCUUUGAUCGGUACGGGUUGUGGGAGCAAGAGCCCGGAGAUGGAUUCUGAGACACGAAUCCAGGCCCUACGGGGCGCAGCAGGCGCGAAAACUUUACAAUGCGAGAAAUCGUGAUAAGGGAACCCCGAGUGCCCGUAAAUUCGGGCUGUCCGCCAGUGCAAAAAACUGGUGAAGAAAGAGCCGGGCAAGACCGGUGCCAGCCGCCGCGGUAAUACCGGCGGCUCGAGUGGUGGCCACUAUUACUGGGCUUAAAGCGUCCGUAGCUUGGUUGUUAAGUCUCCUGGGAAAUCCAUCGGCUCAACCGAUGGGCGUUCAGGAGAUACUGGCAACCUAGGGACCGGGAGAGGUGAGAGGUACUCCAGGGGUAGGAGUGAAAUCCUGUAAUCCUUGGGGGACCACCUGUGGCGAAGGCGUCUCACUAGAACGGCUCCGACAGUGAGGGACGAAAGCUGGGGGAGCAAACCGGAUUAGAUACCCGGGUAGUCCCAGCUGUAAACGAUGCGCGUUAGGUGUAUCGGUGACCACGAGUCACCGAGGUGCCGAAGAGAAAUCGUGAAACGUGCCGCCUGGGAAGUACGGUCGCAAGGCUGAAACUUAAAGGAAUUGGCGGGGGAGCACCACAACAGGUGGAGCCUGCGGUUUAAUCGGACUCAACGCCGGGAAGCUCACCGGAUAAGACAGCUGAAUGAUAGCCGGGUUGAAAGACUCUGCUUGACUAGCUGAGAGGAGGUGCAUGGGCCGUCGUCAGUUCGNACUGUGAAGCAUCCUGUUAAGUCAGGCAACGAGCGGAUUACCCGAAUCNU
rnacentral:rRNA from 1 species